UACGGAGGGUGCAAGCGUUAUCCGGAUUCACUGGGUUUAAAGGGUGCGUAGGUGGGUUGGUAAGUCAGUGGUGAAAUCUCCGUGCUUAACAUGGAAACUGCCAUUGAUACUACUGAUCUUGAAUUUUCUGGAGGUAAGCGGAAUAUGUCAUGUAGCGGUGAAAUGCUUAGAUAUGAACAUAGAACACCAAUUGCGAAAGGCAGCUUACUACAGCGAUAUUGACACUGAGGCACGAAAAGCGUGGGGGAUCAAACAGG
rnacentral:rRNA from 1 species